UGGGGAAUAUUGCACAAUGGAGGGAACUCUGAUGCAGCGACGCCGCGUGAGUGAUGAAGGACUUCGUUUCGUAAAACUCUGUUCUAUGGGAAGAAAAGGACUGUACCAUAGGAGAAAGCUCCGGCUAAAUACGUGCCAGCAGCCGCGGUAAUACGUAUGGAGCGAGCGUUGUCCGGAAUUAUUGGGCGUAAAGGGUGCGCAGGCGGCUUUACAAGUUGGAUGUGAAAUAUUGUGGCUCAACCACAAACGUGCAUCCAAAACUGCAAAGCUUGAGUUAAGGAGAGGUAAGUGGAAUUCCUGGUGUAGCGGUGGAAUGCGGAGAUAUCAGGAGGAAUACCGGUGGCGAAGGCGACUUACUGGACUUAAACUGACGCUCAGGCACGAAAGCGUGGGGAGCAAACAGG
rnacentral:rRNA from 1 species